GGCAGAGAGAAGUGGGGCAGAGGAGACACCAACAAGACACGGAGGGAGUUGGACAUACAGAAUGAAAGAAAGGUAAAAAGACACAUGCUAAAACAUAGAUUAACAGAAAUAGGUUAAGUUAUGAGAGCUAGUGGGACAAGCCUAAACUAAGG